GAUGAACGCUGGCGGCGUGCUUAACACAUGCAAGUCGAACGAAGCACUUUAUUUGAUUUCCUUCGGGGCUGAUUAUUUGUGACUGAGUGGCGGACGGGUGAGUAACGCGUGGGUAACCUGCCUUGUACAGGGGGAUAACAGUUGGAAACGGCUGCUAAUACCGCAUAAGCGCACAGCAUCGCAUGAUGCAGUGUGAAAAACUCCGGUGGUAUAAGAUGGACCCGCGUUGGAUUAGCUAGUUGGUGAGGUAACGGCCCACCAAGGCGACGAUCCAUAGCCGACCUGAGAGGGUGACCGGCCACAUUGGGACUGAGACACGGGCCCAAACUCCUACGGGAGGCAGCAGUGGGGAAUAUUGCACAAUGGGCGAAAGCCUGAUGCAGCGACGCCGCGUGAGUGAUGAAGGUCUUCGGAUUGUAAAACUCCUGUUGUUGAGGAAGAUAAUGACGGUACUCAACAAGGAAGUGACGGCUAACUACGUGCCAG
rnacentral:rRNA from 1 species